rnacentral:rRNA from 1 species
UUGACCUCGGAUCAGGUAGGAAUACCCGCUGAACUUAAGCAUAUCAAUAAGCGGAGGAAAAGAAACCAACAGGGAUUGCCCUAGUAACGGCGAGUGAAGCGGCAACAGCUCAAAUUUGAAAUCUGGCUCUCGGGCCCGAGUUGUAAUUUGUAGAGGAUGCUUUUGAUGCGGUGCCUUCCGAGUUCCCUGGAACGGGACGCCAUAGAGGGUGAGAGCCCCGUCUGGUUGGAUGCCAAAUCUCUGUAAAGCUCCUUCGACGAGUCGAGUAGUUUGGGAAUGCUGCUCUAAAUGGGAGGUAUAUGUCUUCUAAAGCUAAAUACCGGCCAGAGACCGAUAGCGCACAAGUAGAGUGAUCGAAAGAUGAAAAGCACUUUGAAAAGAGAGUUAAAAAGUACGUGAAAUUGUUGAAAGGGAAGCGUUUAUGACCAGACUUGGGCUUGGUUAAUCAUCUGGGGUUCUCCCCAGUGCACUUUUCCAGUCCAGGCCAGCAUCAGUUUUCGCCGGGGGAUAAAGGCUUCGGGAAUGUGGCUCUCUCCGGGGAGUGUUAUAGCCCGUUGCGUAAUACCCUGGCGGGGACUGA